CUCCACCAUCUACAAAACCUCAAAGCCUACUCUUCAAUGGGUGAGAAAACCAGCAACAGGGGACUUGGGGAGACCCACGGGUCAAUCAGAACAAGAAGGACUGUCAUUGUCAACUUGGUGGGAUGUACAAUCAGCAUGGAAACAAAUCUGUGACAUGUUAAGCCACUCACAAUUCAUCACGGGUAUGCCUUGGUUGAUAGAGGAAAUCCAGCACCACCCAGCCUUCUCUCUGAGGAAUGGAAAGAGUGCUUCCUAUUGCCUAAGGAUGCAGGAGGAGCAAAAGGAGAAAGGGCAUUUUAUGGUGACAACAGAGAAGCAAGAAGCGAGGAUAAUUCAUUUACAUUGAACUGGCACAGUGGGAUCUCACUAUGGAGGCCAGCCUUUUCUAAAGCCCAUGGCGCCAGCCACACUGAGCUCAGGAACAGGCACCUGCCCUUUCUGAAUGUUGGUGUCUUCCUCAAAUUCCUGGGUUGGAAUCCUAAACCCUAACAUGGCAUCAUCUGAUGGAGGGGCCUCAGAAGUGAGAAUCUGUGAGAUGGAGAUCCCAUG